rnacentral:rRNA from 1 species
UCGAGCGGAUGAAGGGAGCUUGCUCCUGGAUUCAGCGGCGGACGGGUGAGUAAUGCCUAGGAAUCUGCCUGGUAGUGGGGGAUAACGUCCGGAAACGGGCGCUAAUACCGCAUACGUCCUGAGGGAGAAAGUGGGGGAUCUUCGGACCUCACGCUAUCAGAUGAGCCUAGGUCGGAUUAGCUAGUUGGUGGGGUAAAGGCCUACCAAGGCGACGAUCCGUAACUGGUCUGAGAGGAUGAUCAGUCACACUGGAACUGAGACACGGUCCAGACUCCUACGGGAGGCAGCAGUGGGGAAUAUUGGACAAUGGGCGAAAGCCUGAUCCAGCCAUGCCGCGUGUGUGAAGAAGGUCUUCGGAUUGUAAAGCACUUUAAGUUGGGAGGAAGGGCAGUAAGUUAAUACCUUGCUGUUUUGACGUUACCAACAGAAUAAGCACCGGCUAACUUCGUGCCAGCAGCCGCGGUAAUACGAAGGGUGCAAGCGUUAAUCGGAAUUACUGGGCGUAAAGCGCGCGUAGGUGGUUCAGCAAGUUGGAUGUGAAAUCCCCGGGCUCAACCUGGGAACUGCAUCCAAAACUACUGAGCUAGAGUACGGUAGAGGGUGGUGGAAUUUCCUGUGUAGCGGUGAAAUGCGUAGAUAUAGGAAGGAACACCAGUGGCGAAGGCGACCACCUGGACUGAUACUGACACUGAGGUGCGAAAGCGUGGGGAGCAAACAGGAUUAGAUACCC